CUUUUGUGGUACCCCCAAGUCAAUAAUAGCCCUCUAUUUUAGUCCAUCCAAAGGCUCAAAAGAAAUCAUACUGCUCUCAAAAACGAGAGAGGUAUGUAUCAUACCGAUGCCAAAUUUCGCAGCAAACUAGAAAGAGGCCCUAUCUGGGCCCAGCCCAGUAGACGCCCACGACCCAAUUGACAGCCCGACACAUGUGUGGAUAUCCUCGUUCAUCAGGGAACUCGCUGGGUUGGGUGCGGCCGGCAAUCCACAAGUCCGACGCCGGCGUCCUUGCGAGAUAUCCACCUCCUCCCCUCCGCCGCCCCUUCCCGUACAUGUCCUGGCCGCGCUCCCUUGGCCGGCGACGACAUUCUCGGUCGCCAAGGCGGUCGAUUCUGGGGAAGCGCAACACCGGCGCCCUCUUCCCGGCCGCGGCGCCCUGGGCCUCACCGCUGAUUGAAGAUGGUGCUCGCCGCCCUCUUCGCACGCGAAGAAGCCCGAGAUAUUCACAGUGGUUCGGGUGCGUUGCGUGGCGGUCAUCGCGUCGCGGCGCCCGUGCCGGCUCGGCGGUGCUGCAUGAGAUUGGAGGAGGCCGACGAUGUGAGGCGUCGCCUGCGCGUCGUCUUCUCCCGCGUUGGUCCUUCGCGGUGGUCGUCCUCGGCAUCCAGACCGUGGUGGACUGCGAGCUGGACAGGAAUUCGUCCCUAGCGACAAGACGGGGUUCGGCGUGUAGUUCUCGUCGCAUAGGGGUUCAGCGGCGAGGUGGCCACAACAACCAGGUGGCCGGCGCUCGUGCGGGUGCCGGGAAGGUGUGCCUGGGCUCUGGGCGACUGCCUGGUGGCCAACAUUGGGUCACUGUGCGAGUGCCAGCGCUCUGAACAAGACAGCGACAUGCUCCCUGUAAGUCUCUGUAAGCAUCAUCGUACUGCAUUGUACAAGUUUAAGACCUGGCGCAGCAAGAUUGACGGCACAGGACCUGGAUUUCAUGGCUUUGAUUAAUUCAAAGUACGCCUGCUGUGAGCAUCUCUACCCUGACGAUGACGAAGACCUGAGCUGCAAGCACAAGUUUAAGACCUGGCGCAGCAAGAUUGACGGCACAGGACCUGGAUUUCAUGGCGAGGCGUGAUUAGAAGUUGCUAUGAUCAGCUUUUCUCCGGUGUUUACUUGAAUUUGUCAUGUUUUAGACUAGCUGUUUUUAUCAAGUUUGGUACUAGUAUUGUUUACUUCAAUUUUUCAUUCCGUUUGAUACAGAGAUCUUGUUAUUUAAUACUCCCUCCAGUCUGACGCGAGCGUGUAUACUAAUUAGCCUAGGUUAGGCACAAACGUUGCAUCGAUUAAAUCCGACCAGAUGAGUAAUACAAUUUGGAUAUCAUUUAUCCUAUUUUUGAAA